rnacentral:rRNA from 1 species
UACGAAGGGGGCUAGCGUUGUUCGGAAUUACUGGGCGUAAAGCGCACGUAGGCGGAUAUUUAAGUCAGGGGUGAAAUCCCAGAGCUCAACUCUGGAACUGCCUUUGAUACUGGGUAUCUUGAGUAUGGAAGAGGUAAGUGGAAUUCCGAGUGUAGAGGUGAAAUUCGUAGAUAUUCGGAGGAACACCCGUGGCGAAGGCGGCUCUCUGGGACGGUACUGACGCUGAGACGCGAAAGCGUGGGGAGCAAACAGGG